rnacentral:piRNA from 1 species
UUCCUACACCCACUGUUUUGUGUUUCCUUU